rnacentral:rRNA from 1 species
CUUGGCUCGCGCAACGAUGAAGGACGCAGCGAACUGCGAAACGCAAUGUGAAUUGCAGAAUUCAGUGAAUCAUCAGAUUUCUGAACGCAAAUGGCACCUUGGGGAUAUUCUCCUUGGUACG